GAUUAGAUACCUGGUAGUCCAUACCGUAAACGAUGAAUGCUAAGUGUUGGAGGUUUCCCCUUCAGUGCUGCAGCUAACGCAUUAAGCAUUCCGCCUGGGGAGUACGGCCGCAAGGCUGAAACUCAAAGGAAUUGACGGGGGCCCGCACAAGCGGUGGAGCAUGUGGUUUAAUUCGAAGCUACGCGAAGAACCUUACCAGGUCUUGACAUACUAUGCAAAUCUAAGAGAUUAGACGUUCCCUUCGGGGACAUGGAUACAGGUGGUGCAUGGUUGUCGUCAGCUCGUGUCGUGAGAUGUUGGGUUAAGUCCCGCAACGAGCGCAACCCUUAUUAUCAGUUGCCAGCAUUAAGUUGGGCACUCUGGUGAGACUGCCGGUGACAAACCGGAGGAAGGUGGGGAUGACGUCAAAUCAUCAUGCCCCUUAUGACCUGGGCUACACACGUGCUACAAUGGAUGGUACAACGAGUUGCGAACUCGCGAGAGUAAGCUAAUCUCUUAAAGCCAUUCUCAGUUCGGAUUGUAGGCUGCAACUCGCCUACAUGAAGUCGGAAUCGCUAGUAAUCGCGGAUCAGCAUGCCGCGGUGAAUACGUUCCCGGGCCUUGUACACACCGCCCGUCACACCAUGAGAGUUUGUAACACCCAAAGUCGGUGGGGUAACCUUUAGGAACCAGCCGCCUAAGGUGGGACAGAUGAUUAGGGUGAAGUCGUAACAAGGUAACCA
rnacentral:rRNA from 1 species